AGUUUGAUCCUGGCUCAGAACGAACGUUGGCGGCAUGGAUUAGGCAUGCAAGUCGGGGGAAUCACCCGCAAGGGUGGGAACCGGCGUAAGGGGCAGUAAGGCGUGGGUACCUACCCCGUGGUCCGGGAUAGCCUGCCGAGAGGCAGGGUAAUACCGGAUGACCUCGGGAGAGCAAAGGCUUGCCGCCAUGGGCGGGGCCCACGUGGUAUUACCUGGUUGGCGGGGUGACGGCCCACCAAGGGGGCGAUGCCUAGCGGGUGUGAGAGCACGACCCGCGCCACUGGCACUGAGACACUGGCCAGACACCUACGGGUGGCUGCAGUCGAGGAUCUUCGGCAAUGGGGGCAACCCCGACCGAGCGAUGCCGCGUGUGC
rnacentral:rRNA from 1 species